GGGGGGGGUGACCUGGCAGCUGUAUCUGUCACUCUAUUCAUCCAGCUGAUUGGCUGUUCAGACAGACGUCACCUUUCUUCCUCAUCAUUUCAUGUGUAUUCUUCUUAAAGUUGUCCACUUGGCCAAAGAGUAUGACCUUCCCUGACAGAGGAGAGCUACUCCUCAGUCAAGGAUAUAUAAGUAGCUUCCAGAACCUCUAAACAAGCUUUCAAGACCACAGCGAUAGCAAAAUACAGGGGCAGACAGCAGCAGCCUCCAACAGAAACAGCAAAAACUGUCAGAACUCUGUGGGACAGAAGGUUCGUAGCA
rnacentral:snRNA from 1 species